CCUACGGGGGGCUGCAGUGGGGAAUAUUGCACAAUGGGCGCAAGCCUGAUGCAGCCAUGCCGCGUGUGUGAAGAAGGCCUUCGGGUUGUAAAGCACUUUCAGCGGGGAGGAAGGCGUUAAGGUUAAUAACCUUGUCGAUUGACGUUACCCGCAGAAGAAGCACCGGCUAACUCCGUGCCAGCAGCCGCGGUAAUACGGAGGGUGCAAGCGUUAAUCGGAAUUACUGGGCGUAAAGCGCACGCAGGCGGUCUGUCAAGUCGGAUGUGAAAUCCCCGGGCUCAACCUGGGAACUGCAUUCGAAACUGGCAGGCUAGAGUCUUGUAGAGGGGGGUAGAAUUCCAGGUGCAGCGGUGAAAUGCGUAGAGAUCUGGAGGAAUACCGGUGGCGAAGGCGGCCCCCUGGACAAAGACUGACGCUCAGGUGCGAAAGCGUGGGGAGCAAACAGGAUUAGAUACCCGGGUAGUC
rnacentral:rRNA from 1 species